UACGUAGGUGGCAAGCGUUAUCCGGAUUUAUUGGGCGUAAAGGGAACGCAGGCGGUCUUUUAAGUCUGAUGUGAAAGCCUUCGGCUUAACCGGAGUAGUGCAUUGGAAACUGGCGUUCUUGAGUGGGCGAGAAGUAUGCGGAAUGCGUGGUGUGGCGGUGAAAUGCAUAGAUAUCACGCAGAACUCCGAUUGCGAAGGCAGCAUACCGGCGCCCUACUGACGCUGAGGCACGAAAGCGUGGGUAUCGAACAGG
rnacentral:rRNA from 1 species